GAAGUAAAAGUCGUAACAAGGUCUCCGUUGGUGAACCAGCGGAGGGAUCAUUACAGAGUUACUAUAAACUCCCAACCCUUUGUGAACCAUACCGUCGUUGCCUCGGCGGAAGGUGGGUGCGGUGGAGAGCUACCCUGGAGCCACCUACCCUGUAGGUGGCUACCCUGUAGCUACCCUGAAAAUACGCCCCCGCCAGCCGCCGGAGGACCGUUAAACUCUUGUUUUUACUGUGUCUCUCUGAAUAAAUAAACUAAAAUUCGUUAAAACUUUCAACAACGGAUCUCUUGGUUCUGGCAUCGAUGAAGAACGCAGCGAAAUGCGAUAAGUAAUGUGAAUUGCAGAAUUCAGUGAACCAUCGAAUCUUUGAACGCAUAUUGCGCCCAUUAGUAUUCUAGUGGGCAUGCCUAUUCGAGCGUCAUUUCAACCCUUAAGCAAAACCUAUGCUUAGUGUUGGGAGUCUGCGCCUCGGCGCAGUUCCCUAAAGGUAGUGGCAGUGUUAGGUGCACUCGUAGCGUAGUAAUUCUUUUUCUCUCGCUUCUGUAGUGUCGCCUGGCGUACUCGCCGUCAAAAAAACCCCCCUUCUAAAGGUUGACCUCGGAUUAGGUAGGAAUACCCGCUGAACUUAAGCAUAUCA
rnacentral:rRNA from 1 species